AAAUUGGAUUCACUGGCAGAAUUUUACUUUACUUUAUAGCCAAAUUGCAUAAACAAAGACAGAAUUCAACUCUUCCUACUCCUUUUAAUUGGACAAAAAUGAUAACAUAUAAAGGGACUGGUAGAGUUCCUGCAUAUUGCUGGCACUUAAUAAAUGUGAGUUUGUUCCUCUCCAUUCAAGCAAAUUUCCUUUGAGAUCUCUGGGUCCAGGGCCCCUUACAUGCAUAUGAUGCUCACUGGGCUUCCGCAGGACUUCUUUCUUUGAGUGCCUUCCCUGAAACAUACAAUGACUACAAGAAAGAGGAAUAAUCUGAAACUGCAUUGAUGAAUCCAGCCCAGUUCCAGUUUGAGUAAACCCUCUUAAAAGGUAAAGACUCCUACUCAAGACUCAUCUGGCCCCUCUCCUGUCUCAGCUGUCACCAGGCAGCCCCAGCCACACUGGCCUUCUAUCAAUCCCACGCCCCAUCCCAUCUCGGAUUUUCAAGCAUGUUAUGGAAUCUAAAAAGCCAAAUAAGUACCAAAAAGCAAGUUCGCAGAUACGGAGAAAGAUAGACUGAUAGUUGCCAAGGAGAAGAGUGGAAUGGAAUGAAACUAGUCCUGUGAUAGGACCUGGCCAAGUGGAAGCGCUGGAAAAACUAAGAGCCCUCGGCAGCAUGAGGGGAAGUCCCCUGGUGCAAAACGAGGAAGAUUCCACACCAUCUGGGAGAAGAGGAAGGAGAGGCAGAAGAGUGGGCCCCUGCAGCUGGGGAUUUGGCAGGAGAGACUGUUCUCCAAUGUUCUCACUCAGAAAGUAAAUGUAUUUGAAAUGCUGAAGACGCCACAUAUAUUCUGUUAAUAAUUUACCAACUGAAACCAU